UACUCCUACGGGAGGCAGCAGUGGGGAAUUUUGGACAAUGGGCGAAAGCCUGAUCCAGCCAUACCGCGUGCGGGAAGAAGGCCUUCGGGUUGUAAACCGCUUUUGUCAGGGAAGAAAUCUUCUGGGCUAAUACCUCGGGAGGAUGACGGUACCUGAAGAAUAAGCACCGGCUAACUACGUGCCAGCAGCCGCGGUAAUA
rnacentral:rRNA from 1 species